UACGAAGGGGGCUAGCGUUGCUCGGAAUCACUGGGCGUAAAGCGCACGUAGGCGGAUUUCUAAGUCAGGGGUGAAAUCCUGGAGCUCAACUCCAGAACUGCCUUUGAUACUGGCGAUCUCGAGUCCGGGAGAGGUGAGUGGAACUGCGAGUGUAGAGGUGAAAUUCGUAGAUAUUCGCAAGAACACCAGUGGCGAAGGCGGCUCACUGGCCCGGUACUGACGCUGAGGUGCGAAAGCGUGGGGAGCGAACAGG
rnacentral:rRNA from 1 species